GUCCACGCCGUAAACGAUGGGUGCUAGGUGUCGCGGGCAUUGACCCCUGCGGUGCCGAAGCCAACGCAUUAAGCACCCCGCCUGGGGAGUACGGCCGCAAGGCUAAAACUCAAAGGAAUUGACGGGGGCCCCGCACAAGCGGUGGAGCAUGUGGUUUAAUUCGACGCAACGCGCAGAACCUUACCUGGGCUAGAAAAUGCAGGAAAGCGGGCGAAAGCUCGCCGUGCUCUUCGGAGAACCUGUAGUUAGGUGCUGCAUGGCUGUCGU
rnacentral:rRNA from 1 species